rnacentral:rRNA from 1 species
GUGGGGAAUAUUGCGCAAUGGGCGAAAGCCUGACGCAGCGACGCCGCGUGAGGGAUGAAGGUUUUCGGAUCGUAAACCUCUGUCAGAAGGGAAGAAACUACAUUGUGCUAAUCAGCAGUGUACUGACGGUACCUUCAAAGGAAGCACCGGCUAACUCCGUGCCAGCAGCCGCGGUAAUACGGAGGGUGCAAGCGUUAAUCGGAAUUACUGGGCGUAAAGCGCACGUAGGCUGUAGUGUAAGUCAGGGGUGAAAUCCCACGGCUCAACCGCGGAACUGCCUUUGAUACUGCACAACUUGAAUCCGGGAGAGGGUGGCGGAAUUCCAGGUGUAGGAGUGAAAUCCGUAGAUAUCUGGAGGAACAUCAGUGGCGAAGGCGGCCACCUGGACCGGUAUUGACGCUGAGGUGCGAAAGCGUGGGAGCAAACAGGAUUAGAUACCCGGGUAGUCC